UUGCACCCGGGAUGGUAGCGAAAAGCCCGGAACAAAAAAAUGCCAAUUUUCUCAAGCCAAAAAAGCGACCAACGGAAGCUCUUUUUGGGUUGUAAAAAAUGGCAUUUUUUGUGAGGACUUGCAGCGAACAGCCCGAAUUGGG
rnacentral:sRNA from 1 species